UAUUAUUACCAAACAAAAAAAACUUGAGCUUUCAAUGAAACUUUUUGCUAACCAAAAUGAUAUCUGAAGCUUCUCAUGGACGCCCAAAAGGGAGGAAACUGGGGAAAUGUAGUGAAAUUUCAAGCAAAGAUUCAAUGGGGUGUUUGCCAGAAGAACUGAUCGAAGCAAUUCUUGUAAGGAUUCCAGUUAAAUACCUCUGACAGUUCAAAUGUGCUUUCAAAAAUUGGUUUAAUUUGAUUUCCAUCCCUGAUUUUGUGAAAACCCAUCUUAGUUUUUCUGCUAAGGAUUACACCCGCCAUAUCUCUGUUACAAUUUGAAGAUAUUUAAUAUUGUUCUCUUUAUUUCAUGACUCUGUUAUUGAGGCACUUGAUUUGGAUUGUCCCAUGAAAAAUCCACCUCAACGUGUUCAAAUUUCGGGUUUUGUUAAUGGCUUGGUUUGUCUCACUCAGGGGUGUCAAAAAUGAACCCACUCACAGGUAACUUAUCCAACCCGGUGUUAAAAAUGAUCCCAAUCAUAGGUAACCGCUCAACUCGUCUAGAAUUUUAAGAGUUGGGCUCAAGAUAAUUUAAAUUGGGUUCAAUCUCAGUCAAUUCAAGCUUAACCCAAUUGAAGAGAAUUCUCAAUUGAGCCCAAUUCAAUCUCCAAUUUCAACCUGUUUUAAAAUUUUUUAUUAAGAUAUGUUCCUAUAUUAAAAGUAUGAAUUAUUAUCUAUUUAACAUCUUUUAGGAUUUAUCUAUCAAUAUGUUACUUUUUUUAAUUAAAAAUUCUUGAGCGGAAAUUCAAAUUGUAAUUAUAAAAGUUAAAUAUCAAUAUGUUAAAUUAGUGAAAUUAAUUGGGUUAAAUUGGCGGGUCAAGACCCAACCCGUUUUUUAGCCUAUUUGAGUCCAAAGUAAACUUGAGCGGGUCAAGACCCAACCCAAUUUCAAUUCAACACAUUCAAAUAUUUUCAUUUUCAACCCAACCCGCCCAUUUGACACCCCUAGUCUGUCUGAUGGGUAUGGUUGGUUGGUGCUAUGGAAUCCAUCUAUUAGAAAGUUCAAGAAAGUUUUCGGCUUUGUUCCUACACAGAUGGGUUACAUCUGGUCCAAGUGUGGUUUUGGAAUAUGAUGAGGUUCAUGACGAUUAUAAAGUAGUGGGUAUUUUUAGCAACAUGGUUAAGGCCAAUUUCGAGGCCGUGAUAUAUAGUUUAAAGAGGGAUUCUUGCAGAACACCUAAAAAUUUUAUACCUGGGGUGUGUUACUAUGGAUUACUUAUCGUAGAAGUGGUUGGGGCAUCACGUCUAUUGAUAUGGUUGAUGAGAAAUGGGGAAAGGUGGAUCUGCCCAAUUACAAAGAAGGAGAUGAUUUGAAUCUCCGAGUGUUGGGAAGUGAUCUUUCGGUCCUCUGUCAUAGUGAUGAGAGAACUCACUCUGAUGUGUGAGUAAUGAAGGAAUAUGGAGUUAAAGCGUCUUUGGACAAAACUGUAUACCAUCAGGUAUCCUGAGAACUAUGAGCUUUCUCUGCCCCUUUUCACGUAUAAUAAAGGUGAAAUUCUGCUCGCGUUUAAAUCAACUUUAGGGAUAUACGAUCCAAAGAAUGACUCUAUCACAUAUCCAGAGGUUCCUGAUGAUGAGGUUACUGGUUUUUACGACAGAAUUAAGGCAGAACUUUGCAUCAAAAGCCUAGUUUGUCCGGAUUUACCAAACGAAGAUUGGAAGAUGUCAGAACUCAGGUGAAUGCCUCUUGUAAUAGUUAACAGCUUGGAAACUUGCACGUGUGGUUCUGGCCGGGGACCCCGGUAUACUGUACUAAUAUGUGUAGGUUCCCGUAAUUCGAGUGAGAUUGUCAUGGCGCAAAAGCAGAUAUGGUCCGAAGAACUAGGAAAUGGAAGUCUGCUGUUACUGAUCUGAUCUUUUCUUUCCUGGGUGUGGACGAGACAAAGAAAAGUCUUCUUAGUCUUCCGCUUUUUCGAUGAUAUCUAUAAGAAGGAAUACCUGUCAUAAGGUAAACAGGAGUUCCCGGCUCAAGCGAAAUGAUACCGGCUGAAGGUAAGUAAAUUCUUUAGUUUAGGGAAGGAAUCCACUCUAAAAGCUAGUCUUCUUUUAGCCAAAGAAUCCGAUGCAGUUAGCGAGAGUCGUGGUAGUUCAGUUCUAAGGAAAGGCAGUUCAGUCAUCCGCGGGUAGAAAUCCUAAAAAAGGAAAGUAUGCUAUCUCUCCUAGCCUUCUUUCUUGCUCUGAUUCCAUUUCCUGCACCAAGCCAAGUUAGCUCAUCAUAGGGCUUUUUUUUUUUUAAGAAAGGCUUAAGUUCUUCCUUUAUUAAGGUAAGGUCCGAGAGUAAGAUGGCUUUUUUUUCCCAGCUCUUCUGACUAUGCUUUCUGUGGUAGCUAGGCAAAGUCCAGGUUAUAUCAAAGCAGACUACUUCCUGGUGGUUUAGUAAGGGUUUUAGGAAAAGGCGUAACUGCUCUUGUCGGAAGGGCAGGGCUACUAUACUAUAUGGUAAAUAUCUCCCACACCUGGACCAGGCUAAAAACGAUGAGUCUUCUCUUUUCAGGGUUAGACUCUAUAGAACCAGAACAAUAGACUGAUUGACUGUGGUCAGGUCAGAGCCUUUUAUUGUCUGUUGGAGGAGAUUGAUUGGACUUUAUACCGCACCUUACUUAGUCUUCCGCCGGAACUGGAUUCUCUAAAUCUUAAAUAGAAGUACCCCUCGGGGGAGGAUUGAAUAAGGAAUUUACUUCUCUAAAUCGAAAAAGGAGAAAAAACAAUUUCAUAUGUCGGCAGCAAUCUUCUCUUCCCUCUCAAUUUUAAAUUCUAAUCUUUUUAUUUUAAGGGGUCAGGAUCUUAUUCUUUACGUGAUCUUUCUCUCAAAUUAAAUCUCUGUAAACCAAAAGCACACAACUCGCAAGCAAACUGUAGAUUUACAUGGAAAUUUUUCUUGUUUAUGACUCCAUAAGAAAUGAACAUUUUACCUGGAAAAUAGGUUGAUGCGGGCUUACUUUGAAACCAACUUGUAGGAGCUUAAACUGGUAUUUAGCUCUUAAAUUUGCCUCGUCAAUAAGAAUAACAACUUAUACCUGCUGUAAGACCCACAACGGAAUUCAUAUUCUACACUAUACUAGUACCCUUUGUUUCCCAUUCAACUACAUAAAGAAUUUUUCUGUAUCAUUUUUAUCUGUAUUUGGUGCAUCUGAAAUGAUCAAUAGGUUAAGUUGCCUAUUUUUAUAACGGGAUUGAGGCCAAAUAUUUCAUCACAUCUGAAACAUAACAUUGGCUCUCUUUUUUGUGCAAAUUUUGAAUCAUACAACUUUUUGAAUUGUCCCUCGGAUUUUGCUCCUGAAGUUGCCUUGAAGCUAGUCGAUUUUGCUGUCAUCUGCCAUGGUGAAUCAGUGUUAUGCCUUCUGCUCAAACUCUUGAGUCACUUGUGUCAAGUAUGUUUGCGACUCGAGGAUAAUUGGGUCUGAACCCAACUGAUUUAUAGCUUGAACUUCCUCUACUUGGUUCAAAUUAAAAACCCUGAACUUGCUGCAAAACAGAAUUGUGAUCCUGAUCCCCUAUUUAGCCAUCUCCAUUAUCUCCCUCAAUGUUUCAGCCCAUUCAAAAACAUUGAGGCGGUAACCUGCUAGGCAAAGUUGUAGUAGAAUCAUACAUAUGAUCAGGGGAACAUAUAUACUUACUAGCUGAUGCUUUAGCAACUACCUAGGAGAAGCAGAUGCAAGCUUUUUCUUCAAUAGCCGACCAAAUGACUACAGGAUCAUCAGUCUACUCUAGCGAACCUUAUACAAAAGCUUUUUCCGUACUAGGAAGUAUGAUUACAUAGUUGCAGGUUGUAAAAGCUCUACUGCUACUUAAUUUUGUUGAAGGAUGCAAGAAAAACUCAUGAAUUGAACAGCAGAAAAUUAAACUUGUUAGUUUUGGAAUGUAAUAAUACUAGUUUAUGCUCUUGUAUUUUUGUUUUCGUUUUUAGAUUAUGCUUGCUGUACACAAUUAGAUGUUUGAUAACUUGCUCUACAAUAUCUACAGUUCAUGUUGUACGGUCA